AUUCUCUUUGUUGGAUGCUUUCAGCUGAGGCCUCUCCCAAAGUCGAAGGUGAUUUCUAUUUGCCAAAGUGGGAAGACAACGGGAGGCAGAAUAAAGAUGAAAACCCAAGCAGUCAGUUGAACUUGUUCAGACUGAUACCAGCCCAAGGUAUUCAGGCAGAAGCUAACCCAAGGUUUCCCUAACCUUGGCAGAAGUGCAGGAAAUAGUUGCAGGAGGAUGAAGUGUUCUUGAACUGUUUCUCCAAUGUAUCAAGCACAAGCAGGCUAUUCUUCAGUAUUAAGCACGUGCUUCUCUUUUCUUCCCCUUUAAAGAAACUUUUUAUUGUAGACUAUAAAAGGGGGGGGGGCAGGGGGGAAAUCAAUCAAUCUCUGUUUGUGGACCCCUGUGCUGCAUCUAUGCUAUCCAAGGACAAAGAUGCAAAUCAGGACCUCCCCAGCAUAAUAGCAUUUAGAAGGCAAAUUUCUUGCUGAAGUCUUAUAGCAAAAGAAAUAGCUGUGCUCAAGUGUUAUUUUAAACAAAAAGGAAAAAGAUUAAUUAACCACAUUCUUUAAAACAUCAGCUUCCCUGGAUACAUCAGAAACAGCAUUCCAGAUAAAAGCAGCAUGAUGUGAAAAGACCUGAUCAGCAACAUAUUGGUGUCUGGGCUUGGGGACUAAUGUAAGAACUUAAAGACUUGGCUAGAGAAUAUAUCCUGAGAAGCACAAACAUAUAAGAGGAUGCCAAACCAUGAAAGGCUUCCUUUGCACUGAGAAUUCAGAAGUCGGCGUGUUGACAAGCAGAGAAGCCAAUGCUGCUAGCAAAGCACAUAGGGUGAUGAAUAAACGCAGAUUUUGGGAGCCUAGGAGGAGAUCUAGAAAGGGGCCAACUGAUUUAGCCAUGUUUUUAAGUCUCUACACCCAGCAUUUAGGUGCUGUCAAGCCUCAGGCCUCCUCCCCAGCUGCCCGUGAUGAGGUUUCACGGAGUGGGGCAGCCGGCUUUGACUCAGUGUGUGCAUCAGUGUUCAGCUCUCGGAGGGGAUGCAGAGACUGCCGAGACACUGGCUGCAGCAGGCUGCCUGAGCCAUUUGUUGAGCCUAUGGGAGAGUCAGGUUUAAUUUCCUGCUCAGAUGCGCUGCAUUUUCUGGCUGUUGGCUCAGCAGUAGGCUCCUGGAGUGCCUCCCUGGGGGCCAGAUACACCUCCUCCUGUGUACCGGGGAGAGCCUGGAGGCUGUGUGGGAUCUGAGCUGUUCUCUGGCUGGCACAGCACGUUCGAGGCAGAUGUAUGCCUCUGUAACUGUGACAUCCCACUAGCGUCUCUGGAGCUACUGCAGCAGGAAUGCUGGCUUGAAACGCUUGAGCCAUGAGCAAAGUAAGUGAACAGAUAUGGCUCGUGCAGUUCUUAAACAUGAGACCUGGCCACACAUUAUUAAUUGGGAGAGUCUCUUUGGGAUGCCAGUGGAGAAGUAGUAUUCUUCUCUUGAGAGGAAAAAAUGCAAUUUUCCUCCAGCUGCAUUUAAAAUUGGAUAGUUCAGUAAUUAGCUGAGAAAUAACAGAUUUACAUAUGAAGCAAUAUAGCAAAGGAAGGGUAGUUGUUAGGUACUAGUUGAUGUGCAGUCUGAUUUGUGAUGGAUAAGCUAAGUUUAAAAGCUAUAUUCUAAGGAAAAUGGACAUAACUGCAAAAAUAUGGGAUGUACAUAUGAUGAGAAAAAAACCCCAAAAACCUCUUUACCUAAAAAGAAAUUUGAGAGGGCAGUCAUGGGAAGAAACACUGAUGACUUCCUCUUUUGCAUUUAGCAUAAGCCUACCAUGCAACCGCCCAAGAUAAACACUGUCUUUUUCUGGUUUGGAAAACAUCUUGAAUGUCCUUUAAACUUGUUGACUUGCUCCACUUUUGUCAGGCCUUCUUGCAUAAGCACAUUGCUCCCAACACAAUCAUCCCUUGAGACGUACUCAUGUUAUUAUCAGGUACCUCCUGGGGGCUGAGCACCUACCCUGCAAGGAUGCUGGUAAGUACUUGCAGGCACCUCUUCUUCAGCAGAGAUCAACGUCUGUGCAGCUGAUGGCUCUCAUUCUUGUUUGGUUGGCAGGGAUGGUGUCACUAAACUUGAGCUCACUUGUCACAAUGGAAUUCAAUUAUCUGCUGGAGAGAAGCCCUGACAGCUGUGGCGUAGGUUUUUCAAUGUGAUGUUGCCUGGAUCGCAAGAAAAAUAUCAAGGGCUGGUGAGAACAGCCAUGUUCUAAAAGCAUCUCCGCCUGGGUUAGACCACUGCCUACCAAAGAGGGCGUAAGUUGGAAGCACAGUGUUUGUUUACCACAUUGCCCCUGGGUUUGCCUCUGGCUUGUGCAUCCUGGGGGAGAGGCAGUGGGUCUGCUGCUGGUUCCUCAAACAUUGACAUCUGUGAUGGCCUUCUGUAGUGAAAGCAUUUUCCUAGCAGCAGCAUUAGGAUCCAGGAACAUUGUCCCUCAACCACUGUGGGAAAUCUGUGAGAGCCAAGCUGCACCACACCAGAGGCUAACAUGCAUGUCUUUUGGGAAAUCCUGGCUGUGUCCCCUGGGCUUCAGGAGCUUCCUGGGCUAGGUUUGGAAAUUAAACCACAGAGCUGCACUUCGUCUGUCCGUGCCCCACCCAAAUGAAGGGAAAGGCAUCCUUGGUAAGGCCCUGUGCUCCUGCCUCAAGCUGCAAGGGAUGACCUGUCUGGCAAGAGCUUUGGGAAGGAGUUUCUUCUCCAAAAAGUGAGUGUGUUGUAAUGUGUUUGCAUUAUCCACUGUCAGCUCUUGAUGACUGCCAUUAGGAUUAGAAACAAUUUGGAAAUUCUGGAGUUAAAAGUAUGUAAGUUGCAUGAAGAUAAUACUUAAUAAACACGAAUACAUGGUAGGGAGAUUUUUUUUCCAUCCUUUAAUAUGACUUUUAGACUUACAAGCUUUUAUCUUAUUUUAUGGGGCCAUGUGAAAUAAAUUAAAUGUAACACAAGAUGCUGUUAAAAAAGAUUUUAUGACAUUGAGAACUGGUUCUAUAUUAGGACCAGAUCUUACAAAGGCUUAUUGAUGUGAGCAGUUUUGCUCCCAUAGAUAAGCUGUGGAGUCAGCUAUGGCUAACCAUUUAAAUGCUCAGAAUCAGGCCCUCAUUUUGGAUGCACUUCUCAUUGUUAAAUCAAUGUGAAAGUGAAAUCUGUCUCCUCUCAAAAGGAAAUUGCCAAGACUUUCUACGCUAAGAUUUGGGAUCUGUAGAAAAUGAAGCCUUUUUAUUUUUUCUUCCCUCCAAUAAUCUGUUCAGUGAACAAGCUGUGAAAAAUAGUUCUAUAUUUUUUCCAUGUGAUGCAGCAGACGGUAAAUUUCCAUUUAAAAGAAUGAUCAGAGUAGCUGCUGGCACUGAACUCUGUUGUCUUAGUCAAAUCUACUUACAAAGAGUUUACAGCAAUACAAUAGCUUAUUAUUUCACUCAACCAGAAAUCAGAUGAAAAAGGCAAAGGGGAAGCCUGAAGUAGGUUCAUGGUCAGAAUUCUUUUCUUCCUUAACAUCUUGGGGUGUUUUUAAUGCAGGAGUUGAGAUCAGUAGUUUUAUGUAUAAGGAGGAGACUACUUCUUUUCACCUCUACUUUUGUAUGCUGUGAAAUAAUCAGACUAUGCACUUCUAUAGUGCCUUUCUUCUGUGGAUCUGAAAGCACUUUACAAACAUUAAUUAAAGUCUCACAACACCCAUGUGGAGGUAAAGGAGCAUUGUUUGUGUAUCUAAUGCAAAGGCUUAACCUGAUUCUUUAAGUACUCUAGCAGGAAAAUAAUGGAAUAGCCAAAGCAAAUUAAUCUAACUGAAUUGCUGGGAGCAUUUAUAUGUGUGUGUGCAUGUGUAUACGUGUAUAUAUAUGUGUGUGUGUGUCUGUGUGCAUGUGUGCCUGCAUCUCUGUGCUGCUGGAAGCCUCAGACUGCACCUCCUCUGCCCUGCACAUCCUGCCUGUUGUUGUCUCAGGGGAUUUGAAGUGUGCUGCUGCUUCUCUCUGUAUAAUGCCUCGGGUCCAUCAAAAUGUGUAUCUUCUAGGAAACCUGGGGAAAGCUUGCAUUGCCAUUGAUUAUGCUAAGAUUAG